UAGAGGAAGUAAAAGUCGUAACAAGGUUUCCGUAGGUGAACCUGCGGAAGGAUCAUUAUCGAGUUUUGAACAGGUUGUAGCUGGCCUCUUAAUGAGGUAUGUGCACGCUUGGCUCAUCCACUCUUCAACCCCUGUGCACUUUUCAUAGGAUAGGCAAAGGCUGGGAAUACUUCUCAGUUCAAUGUCUGCUCUGUGURAUUUUUAUACCAACUCUUGUUGUAUAUGAAUGUCUUCUUGCGGAUAACGCAAUUAUAAAAUAACUUUCAGCAACGGAUCUCUUGGCUCUCGCAUCGAUGAAGAACGCAGCGAAAUGCGAUAAGUAAUGUGAAUUGCAGAAUUCAGUGAAUCAUCGAAUCUUUGAACGCACCUUGCGCUCCUUGGUAUUCCUUGGAGCAUGCCUGUUUGAGUAUCAUGGAAUUCUCAACUCCCAAGUUUCUUAUAGAAGCUUGGUGAGCUUGGACUUGGAGGAUUUGUGCUGGCUAUUAAUCUAGUCGGCUCCUCUGAAAUGCAUUAGCAUGAAUUUUGCGAUCAUCUUCAGUGUGAUAAUUGUCUACGCUGUGRAUGUGAAGCAAUUUAUAUUUAUGCUUAUAGUCGUCUUUUAAAGACACUUUCUUGACUUCUGAUCUCAAAUCAGGUAGGACUACCCGCUGAACUUAAGCAUAUCAAU
rnacentral:rRNA from 1 species